GAUGAACGCUAGCGGCAGGCUUAAUACAUGCAAGUCGAGGGGCAGCACAGGUAGCAAUACUGGGUGGCGACCGGCAAACGGGUGCGGAACACGUACACAACUUACCUUAAGGUGGGGGAUAGCCCAGGGAAACUUGGAUUAAUACCCCAUAAUACAGGGGGGCCGCGUGGGGCUAUUGUUAAAGAUUUAUUGCCUUAAGAUGGGUGUGCGUCUGAUUAGGUAGUUGGUGAGGUAAAGGCUCACCAAGCCAACGAUCAGUAACUGGUGUGAGAGCACGACCAGUCACACGGGCACUGAGACACGGGCCCGACUCCUACGGGAGGCAGCAGUAAGGAAUAUUGGUCAAUGGACGGAAGUCUGAACCAGCCAUGCCGCGUGAAGGAUGAAGGUCCUCUGGAUUGUAAACUUCUUUUAUAGGGGGCGAAAAAGGGCCUUUUGAGGUCAACUGACGGUACCCUAUGAAUAAGCACCGGCUAACUCCGUGCCAGCAGCCGCAGUAAUAC
rnacentral:rRNA from 1 species